rnacentral:rRNA from 1 species
UACGGGGGGGGCAAGCGUUGUUCGGAAUUACUGGGCGUAAAGCGUGCGCAGGCGGUUCGUUGUGUCGGUGGUGAAAUCCCCGGGCUUAACCUGGGAAUGGCCAUGGAAACUGGCGAACUGGAGUGUGGCAGAGGGGGGUGGAAUUCCGCGUGUAGCAGUGAAAUGCGUAGAGAUGCGGAGGAACACCGAUGGCGAAGGCAGCCCCCUGGGCUAACACUGACGCUAAGGCACGAAAGCGUGGGGAGCAAACAGG